GUUUCCCGUAAGGCGCCGAAUGAGUCAUUAAAAAAUUAACAUCAUCCGAUCCCUAGUCGGCAUAGUUUAUGGUUAAGACUACGACGGUAUCUGAUCGUCUUCGAUCCCCUAACUUUCGUUCUUGAUUAAUGAAAACAUCCUUGGCAAAUGCUUUCGCAGUAGUUAGUCUUCAAUAAAUCCAAGAAUUUCACCUCUGACAAUUGAAUACUAAUGCCCCCAACUAUCCCUAUUAAUCAUUACGUCGAUCCUAGAAACCAACAAAAUAGAAUCAAACGUCCUAUUUCGUUAUUCCAUGCUAAUGUAUUCAAGCGUGAGCCUGCUUUAAACACUCUAAUUUUUUCAAAGUAACAGUCCUGAUUCCCCAUGACACCAAAUUAAUGACAUCAUGGUUCGUCAGAAGGUAGGAACCAAUAAUACCAGUACGUACAAUAGCACGACCAAUAAAUUGAUCCCGAAAUUCAACUACGAGCUUUUUAACUGCAACAACUUUAAUAUACGCUAUUGGAGCUGGAAUUACCGCGGCUGCUGGCACCAGACUUGCCCUCCA
rnacentral:rRNA from 1 species